AUUGAACGCUGGCGGCAGGCCUAACACAUGCAAGUCGAACGAGCGGCGGAGGGGGGAGUAAUGUCUGGGAGACCGCGUGUGGGAGAGGGAGAACUACUGGAAAAGGGAGCUAAAACAGCACAUCAUCAGAUGUGCGCCGAUGGGAUUAGCUGGUUGGUGGGGUAACGGCUCACCAAGGCGCCGAUCCCCAGCUGGUCUGAGAGGAUGACCAGCCACACUGGAACGGAGACACGGUCCAGACUCCUACGGGAGGCAGCAUUGGGGAAUAUUGCACAAUGGGCGCAAGCCUGAUGCAGCCAUGCCGCGUGUGUGAAGAAGGCCUUCGGGUUGUAAAGCACUUUCAGCGGGGAGGCGUUACCCGCAGAAGAAGCACCGGCUAACUCCGUGCCAGCCGCCGCGGUAAUUC
rnacentral:rRNA from 1 species